AAGAGACAGCAGUCGCCGCGGUAAUACGGAGGGUGCAAGCGUUAAUCGGAAUUACUGGGCGUAAAGCGCACGCAGGCGGUCUGACAAGUCAGAUGUGAAAUCCCCGGGCUUAACCUGGGAACUGCAUUUGAAACUGUCAGGCUGGAGUCUUGUAGAGGGGGGUGGAAUUCCAGGUGUAGCGGUGAAAUGCGUAGAGAUCUGGAGGAAUACCGGUGGCGAAGGCGGCCCCCUGGACAAAGACUGACGCUCAGGUGCGAAAGCGUGGGGAGCAAACAGGAUUAGAUACCCCUGUAGUCCCUGUCUCUUAUAA
rnacentral:rRNA from 1 species